UUCGGGUUAAGGAUUGCAGCGGCAUCCUUUUGUUUUUAUAAAAAAGACCUUUCUGCAUUGCACAAGGUGACAAAAAACAAAAGAUAUAGCGGAAAGCCUGACCCCCG
rnacentral:sRNA from 1 species